GGGGGAGUGGCCGAGCGGUCUAAGGCAACGGACUUGAAAUCCGUCGUAUCCGAGAGGGUACCGUGGGUUCGAAUCCCACCUCCUCCG
rnacentral:tRNA from 1 species